rnacentral:lncRNA from 1 species
GCAACAGAGUAAUAAAAGUGUUAAAAUUCACUUUGGAAGCUUAUAUUUUGGCGUUGAAGACUUAAUUUGCAUUGGAAGGGGAUGAAUUGAGUUUGGUGAUCUGCUCUAGCAGGUGGGGCGUAGGUCCAAGGCAGCCUGGAUGCAGGUGCCACAGGUUUGAGGUGAUGCAGCACCUUAGGCAUAGUUCAAGGGCAUUCAAAGGCAGAUCUACUGUCCCCCUAUCUUGAAAUGGCCGAAAUGCCCUUCUAAUGGUCCUUUGUGUCCUCUUUUGUUGGAAUAUCCUUAGAUGCCCAAGUACAAACACUUUUUCACUACUUUUAUUUCUUAUUUUUGGAUCAAACACCCAAAUUUGCUAAAAG